GUCAGCAGUAAUACUGUAUUUUGAAAAAGGAACAUGGCUCACUGUUCUAGGGAAGGACGAUGAAAUGAUACCUCCAGCUGUGGCCAUCUUUUCCCCAUCAAAGCAAGAGAUCCAACAGAAGAGCAAGGCCACACUGGUAUGCCUGGCCUCUGGUUUCUAUCCUGACCACCUGAAUCUGGUUUGGAAGGUGAAUGGUGCUAAAAGGACAGAAGGGGUGGGAACAGAUGAGUUUUCUACACGGAAUGAGAGUACCUACUCAUUGACCAGCCGACUGAGGAUCUCAGCCCAGGAAUGGUUCAACCCUUUGAACCGUUUUGAGUGUGUUGCCGAAUUUUUUCAGAAUGAAACACUGGAAUCAAUACAGAAAUUCAUCUACGGCGAUGCUGAUUGUAGUAUCUUCAAAGAAAACUGUUAGAGAAGUGCUACAGCUGGGAAGUUUGUGUACAUCAUACUUACUUUCAAGAGCAUUUUGUAUAGGAUGUUUGUGAUGGGGCUGAGUUUUAGGUCCAAGGAGAGGAACAGAGUUCUGGUCUAUGCACAUUUGUCCUAA